rnacentral:rRNA from 1 species
AUGCGGCUCAAAUUUGAAACCGUGCCUGAAGAAGAACGGUUUAACCGUUGUAAACGAUCACUUUUAUUCGUCGUGAAUGAACGGCCAUGCCUGCCUGCAAACUUGCAUAGCCCUCGUGGAAAAGAUACCAUGAAUGUUUGCUUUGGGCAAAGCAUCGGGAUAAAGCCGGGGAUGCCUUUGGGUGAAAGCUGUGGAGGUUGGUCACGCGCGGGCUCAUCAAAAGCUUUGUGUUUAGUCCAGGUUUGGUGCAGGUUUGGUCGUGGUGGGUUUUGGAAGAGCGUCAAGAUGCAAAAGAUGGGACCAGAGUUGACGGCUCUGAACGAGCUUUGCCAAGGAUCUCUGUCGUUCUCGUGUGGUUUAUUUUCUUGGAUCUGA